CGGACGGGUGAGUAACGCGUGGAAAACCUGCCGUAUACUGGGGGAUAACACUUAGAAAUAGGUGCUAAUACCGCAUAAGCGCACAGCUUCGCAUGAAGCGGUGUGAGAAACUCUGGUGGUAUACGAUGGUUCCGCGUCUGAUUAGCUAGUUGGUGGGGUAAUGGCCUACCAAGGCAACGAUCAGUAGCCGGCCUGAGAGGGUGAACGGCCACAUUGGGACUGAGACACGGCCCAAACUCCUACGGAAGGCAGCAG
rnacentral:rRNA from 1 species